rnacentral:rRNA from 1 species
ACGUAGGGGGCGAGCGUUAUUCGGAAUUACUGGGUGUAAAGGGUAUGUAGGCGGCCCUUCAAGUCGCGCGUCAAAGUCCAGUGCUCAACGCUGGGUGUGCGGGCGAUACUGACGGGCUUGAGUGUUGGAGAGGUGAGCGGAAUUCCCGGUGUAGUGGUAAAAUGCGUAGAUAUCGGGAGGAAUACCGGCUGCGAAGGCAGCUCACUAGACAAUUAUUGACGCUAAUGUACGAAAGUGUGGGGAGCAAACAG